rnacentral:rRNA from 1 species
AUUGAACGCUGGCGGCAUGCCUUACACAUGCAAGUCGAACGGUAACAGGUCUUCGGAUGCUGACGAGUGGCGAACGGGUGAGUAAUACAUCGGAACGUGCCUAGUAGUGGGGGAUAACUACUCGAAAGAGUGGCUAAUACCGCAUGAGAUCUACGGAUGAAAGCAGGGGAUCGCAAGACCUUGUGCUACUAGAGCGGCCGAUGGCGGAUUAGGUAGUUGGUGGGAUAAAAGCUUACCAAGCCGACGAUCUGUAGCUGGUCUGAGAGGACGAUCUGCCACACUGGGACUGAGACACGGCCCAGACUCCUACGGGAGGCAGCAGUGGGGAAUUUUGGACAAUGGGCGCAAGCCUGAUCCAGCAAUGCCGCGUGCAGGAUGAAGGCCUUCGGGUUGUAAACUGCUUUUGUACGGAACGAAAAGCCCCGGGUUAAUACCCUGGGGUCAUGACGGUACCGUAAGAAUAAGCACCGGCUAACUACGUGCCAGCAGCCGCCGUAA